UGUCAGAUCUUUACUACAUAACAGGAAUUCUAUACAAAAUAAAUAAUUACAUUAUAAGGAGACAACGAUCCAGCAACCCAAAGUUGACUGGGAGACGAUGGCCUAGAUCUCUCACGAACACAUCACAGCAUCCUCCAAGUGCCUCAUCCUGUGGUACCUGUUCUUGACCUGUGGGGGGUGUGAGACAACAAGAGUGAGCUCACAUACGAUCAUAGCUCAACAAGUUGUGGGGAAUAAUGUGCAUGAACUCGCCAAAGGUGGGAGCUCACAUGAAGUGUAAGGCUUACCAAAGAGGAUGGUUAGAGCUGAGCAUUACUUUUAAAGUUGGUCAAAAUUUUAUUAGCAGUUACUAAGUAUAAGUAAAUACCAACCCAAUUAAAUAGUAGAACAAAAGUAACAACCUCACCUGCGAUGCAAUGCAUAUGACAAAUUGAAUUUAGUUCCAUAAUUUAAUCAUGUGAGUGUCCGAGCUACUCAUGACCGUGAGCAUGGCUAGUAUACCAGUUUUACACUCUGCAGAGGUUGCGCAUCUUUACCCACAAGUCAUGUUACCCAUCCGCCAAGGGAUCGUGACUUCCCAUACACCUCUGCCGAGGAGGCGAGGCAGGGUAACACUACGAGGCCUUUACAAAGUUCCACAAGCUUCAGAAAACCCGCUACAGUUUAUAGGAAGCUACAAUGCAGGGACCCCUCGCAUGACCGCCAUCGCAGCAAAACCAUCCCAAGGACCUCCCCACACUGACCACUCCCCUACUGCCCUUGCCCCUUUCGGGUAAGGUAAUCAUCCACUAGCUUUCCUAGUUAAUCAGCCAAGGGCGUCCAUAAACCCUUGUGGUAGCACUGUUUUCCAGGGUGGUUCUCCAUGUUCUAAUUAACAUAAUGAUCUUAACAUGAACAAUAAAUAACAACUGAUAACAAAAGUAUAAUCAUGAAUAGUGUAAUCUACAUACCCAAAACCACAUAAAGCAAUAGCAGGUAGUACCCAAAAAGUUUAGUGGAGUCAAGGUAUAAAGAUAAUCAAACUAGGGUAACCUGUUAGGUCCCAUCAAAAUUAACCUAUGCAGAUCAUUAUGAUUAAUCAGAACAUGACUGGGUAAAAAGAAGUGAUCAAGGGCACAACUUGCCUGGGACUUGAGAUACCAGGUACCGGGAUGAUCUUCAGAUGACUCGUGACCUCACGCUAGUCGUAGCAAUACAAACAAACAUGGUAUACACAAAAUUAACAUCACACCAACAGGAACUGCGUAAUAAUAUUCUACGCGCCAUAACGAGAUCGUAGAAACAAGGACCACUAAAUUCGGAGCUACGGUUAUUAAGUUAUGAAUUUUCGAAAUUAUUUAGUGCUUAGAAUAGAUUAAUCCUAAUGAACAAUUUUAAUCCAAGUUUCAUGGCUAAACAGAUAUACUAAAUGAUAGAUAAUAUUAAAACAAAACUAUUGCAACUAGAAUGAAUCAAUUUGGAGCUAAAAUGAAUUAAAUAUGAAUUCUACAAGUUUUUGGAUUUAUUUUUGUAUUAAAAAUCCAUUUCUAAUAUUAAUUUCUGAAUAUCCUAAGUGUUCUGGACUGGGCACAAUAUUUCUUAAAAGAUUAGGGGCCUAAAUCACAAUUUUCCCAAGACUCAGUAUUCCCACAGUGUGGACUGCGGGUUUAUUUAAAAUAAGUGCGGGGGUUCUUUAUGAAUUAUGCCAUGGCCGAAGGGGUAUGGGAAAAUUAGAGUCGUCCGAUUAGAAACGGGCCGACCAGAUCGGGCCUAGGCAUUAAUGAAGUGGAACGUGCAUACCUACCUUUGGAUCUUGGAUCAGCGGUGCAGAUUUAAGGCGCGAAGGGAUACAUAUCAUCAAAUCUCGACUGUAAUCUAGAGAUCCGACGGCCCAGAUCAAACUGCCGCACGCAUUGAUCUCCACCGUUCAUCAGAAAUGGACGGUCACUGGGUCAUCUCCCACCUUCUAUCCGAGCACGACGGCGCGGCUAGAUCCGUGGCGGCGGCUGGGCGUGGAUCGAGGAGGAGAGGGAGAUGCUGGCCCUCCAUUGCCGCAGCGGUGCUGCCCGGUUCGCCCUCGAAAUCGCCGUCCAAGCAAUCUCUCCGUGUGGGACACGGUAGCGACAUCGAAGCUCUUUCUCUCUCUGCGCGGCAAGGAGCUCUCGGCGACCAGAUUCCACCGGGUUUGUGGCAAUGGGAAAAAUUGGCGCAGAUGGAUGAGGAAAGGGGGUCACGGCGGUCGGCCUUUAUACACCUGAUGGGCAGAGUCCGAUUGCCAGAGAGCUCGGACGGUUCUGUUUAGCUAAUUCGAAGUUUGCGACGAAGAUAACUGCUUCGACGCGAAUC
rnacentral:lncRNA from 1 species